UACGUAGGUGGCAAGCGUUGUCCGGAUUUAUUGGGUUUAAAGGGUGCGUAGGCGGUUCUAUAAGUCAGUGGUGAAAUACGGCAGCUUAGCUGUCGAGGUGCCAUUGAUACUGUAGGACUAGAGUACUGUUGAGGUAGGCGGAAUGGACGGUGUAGCGGUGAAAUGCUUAGAUAUCGUCCAGAACACCGAUAGCGAAGGCAGCUUACUAAAGAGUAACUGACGCUGAGGCACGAAAGUGUGGGGAUCAAACAGG
rnacentral:rRNA from 1 species